CUGUGAUCAAAGCGUAAAUGAUUCUUCCAGGAAUCAUAUUAACUCUGCCUUUCUCUCAUUUACAAAUCUGCUGCUACAGACUUUCUUUCCUCCUAGGAUUAAGCAGUUCUUUAGACACAAAUGCCUGAGAAUCUCCUUUAAUUCUCUGAGAUUAUCCAAGGGAUUCUCAACUCUUGUGCAGCUGAAUGAAUCUCUCCUAACAAAAAUGAUUGUUCUUCAAAUCCUCUCCAAACACAUGGCCGAAUAUUUAGGCAGUUGUUCUCUUGUUAGUAUACAUGAAACCUCAUGAAUUUCAUGACGGAUCAUCUCCCCGGCAGCUUGGAGUCCAUGGCUACAUAUUUGUUGAUACAGCCUGUUGAGAUCUAAGCUCUUUAAUUUGCAAUUGUAAUAUGUAAUUUUCUAGAAAUAAAAUGCAAUUCAGUCUCAGGA